ensembl:snRNA U6 U6 spliceosomal RNA
GUGCUCGCUCCAGCAGCAUGUUACAGAGAUUGGAACAAUACACAGGAGAUUAGCAUGGCCCUUGUGUAUGGAUGAUGUACAAGUUCAUGAAGCAUUCCAUAGUUUU